AAAGUGGAAGAUGGAAAUUACUUGGGGACAUCUAAAAGCAAAAAAACAGGAACUUCUGAAGUUAGCAAAGAGCAAAAAAUCUCGAAAAUAUCGAAAGGAUCAACAUCAGCUCCAGAAUCAGCAAAGAGGAAGAUAACAACUGUAGCAGCUCUAAUAUAUACAUAUACAUCUCUGUACACAAAUGCAAGAACUUCUGAAGUCAGCAAAGAGCAAAAAAUCUCGAAAAUAUCAAAAGGAUCAACAUCAGCUCCAGAAUCAGCAAAGAGGAAGAUAACAACUGUAGCAGGUCAAGACAAAGCACUGAUUCAGUCAUACAACAAAGAGAUAGUAGACAAACAUAAUACAUCAAAUGAAUCAGAUCUUGUGCAGGGGCAAGUCUCAAUUAUUACUGGAACACCAAAAGCAUUCCAGCCAAGUGAAUUUGAGUAUUCAAUGCAGUCAGCUGUCAAUACAACAAGAGGAGAUAACAGAUCAGCUGACAUAAUCAUGCAGGGUGAUCAAAAUGGUGAUUCAGAUGAUUCAAAGAAUGAACAAAAUCCAGUAGACCCAUGGUCACUAGAUAUUUUAAGUAUGGCUGCAAAUGACAAGGAGAAAACAACAAUGGAGAGUCUGAACAAUGGGCCAGAACAGAACAUAGAAAAGGGCACAAAUGAAAUUGCUGAAUCUGAUGAAAAUGAAGAACUAACUGAGGAAGAUAUAAACAAUUUUUUGGACCAGGAACAGCAUGAAGCAUUGCAAGGAAAAACACUAGAGAUCAAAGCAACGGGAUUUUCCGUUGUCAAUGCGCACAGCUACCACACCACAAGCAAAACAAUAAAUGGGGAGGUCACCAGAGUAACUUUUAAGUGCAACAGGUUUGGGAAAGAUAAUUCAAAGAAAAAGAAACAACAAACAGAGGAGACAGUUGUUUCAAAGAGGAAUACAAAUCAGGUCAUUCUCACAGAUUAUUGCUCAACUCUCAGGUUCAAUAUCCUCUCAAGAAGAAGUGCUGAAUUUGCUUCAAAAGGUGCCAAAACAACUGAAUCAUAUGAGUUCAUGAUGCAACAAUUUGAUAUGAUUGAUAAAGCUUGGAAAAAUAGGAGUCUAGAAGAGACAAGGCAACAGCAAAGCAGUACAGAAAACCAGAACAAUGCAAAUUCAGCUUCAGAAGUUGAUCAUGUUGAAGUAGAAAAUACAGCAGUUAAUGAACUUCAGAUAUUGGAUCCAGAGAUAGCAAAAUCAAAGGGAAGACCACAACAACGAUACAAAACUAUUAGGGAACAAAUAGAAGAAAAACAUGUGAAUCACUGCAGUCACUGUGGAAGAACAGAUCACACAUUUCCAAGCUGCCCAUUGAAACACAUAGAGUUCAAUUUAGCAAAGAAAAAAAAAGGAAAACAAAAAACCAAGUGGAACAGGAAAAGAUUCAAGACAACAUGUUGA
rnacentral:lncRNA from 1 species